rnacentral:lncRNA from 1 species
UACAGGAAACCUGAAACUGCCAUUGAGCAGAAGGAAAACAUCCCUUUCCAGAACCUUUCUCGUUUUUCUAAAAAUCUGCACUUUUGGAAGUGAUCCCCCAAAGAGACCUCCAGACUCUACCAUGAGUGUCUCCAGCUGAACUCAUCGUGUCUAAUCCUCACCCUAGCUUAUCCUGUUCAAAUCAUUUCCAUCUUUUUCUGGAUGAACCUGGGCGGAUGUCAGACCAGAGAAGAGCACAGAAUGUACCAGAGAGAGUCUUGCUCUGUCACCCAGGCUGAAGUGCACCCAGGCUGAAGUUGGAGGCUAUGGUGAGCUGCACCACUACACCACUAUGGGAGGCCGAGGCGAGUGGAUUGCCUGAGCUCAG